GAGCCCGUGGCUCAGUGGUUAGAGCGUUGGACUUCCGAUCAACGGUUCACGGGCUCG
rnacentral:tRNA from 1 species